rnacentral:sRNA from 1 species
UGUCCUAGAUUUUUAAUCAGCAUAUUUGCAUUCUAUUUAACUUACUCAAUACCUAUGAGAACCACCACUUUACUCUCAGCACAAAUCCUAAUGUUGAAUCAGAAAUUAUAAUAACUCUUAGUGACACGUGUAUGAUUUUCUUACCUUUCUAGGAAAGAUCACUGGCGCUAUGAGAUAAACAUUGGCAUGACUAGUUCACUACAGCUUUCCAUUUGCCCUCUACUUCAUUAGAGAUUUUUACUUCGUGUUACAUAUUUUCAAGGGUACCAAAUACUACCAUUGAGAGACAUAUUCCUCAGAAAAGAGAAAGAAGAUUUCUGAUAUUAUUGCUGAAGGAACUCCCUUUUCAGCAUUAUGAAGAAGGCAGGAAGUCAUCAAAUAAGUGCACUGCCGGGAAGCAGACAGCAGUGAGUCUCCCACUGAAUCUAUCAUCCUCUGACUAUUGGGCCCUUUAAUCUUCUGGCUAGUGGUGCUUAAGCUUGACUUAUAGACUCGGUACAGGAAAUUCAGAAAUGUCAUACAUGCAUUAAUUUUCAAUCAAUUGGUUUUUAAAAAAUAUGCUCCUCAGGAAAAGAUAGUGUGUGAUUUCUUACCCUAGAUGCUAUUAUAAUGAUGUGUAUCUUGAACAAUCACUAAACAAUAUAUUCACAGGUUUCCUAUUGUUUAUUUGCUGUGUCCAAAGUUCUUAGUACAGUGUUUUGU